GUGACAGUGGUGCUUGGCCCAACGUGAUUUAUCAAUUAUAGCUUGUCUGUUCUUCCUACCUAACUCCAUUUCCCUUGAGAAGCUCAGAGCACAUCUAGCUAAAACGAUGAAGAGAAGAGAAGGGGAAGAGGUAGGCCGGAGAGAAGAAAGGGAGAAGGCCGAUGCGGCACUGCCGUCGGCCAAGAUCCUGCACUUCAGACUUGAAGUCAAGCUGUAGAUUUGAAGGGGAGGGGCUCUGUUGUGUCGGCGUGCACGGAAAUGGAAUCUUGCAGCUGGCUAGAAAUCAGCGCUUCGGCAUCAUGGAUCUUUCCAAUAGGACCCUGGAAGAGGAGCUGAACGGCGGCAAGCACUCAUACCAGACAGAAGGCCACGAGAGGAAUCAACUAAGUAUGCGAGCUCGCCUGCUACUAAUCGCAAAAACUGGCGGCUGGAAGCCUCUUGCAUGUGCCGGCGAGGGUCUCGCCGCAGUGCGGUGGUAGUAGGAGCGGUGAGGUCUACGCUCCGGGCGAUGGGACUCUGGCGAGGUAGGCUAAGAAAUUGGGCCUCACGGCAGGGAUGGCGUGCCAACAUGGAGAUUGGCCACACGCUCAAUCAUUGAGGCAGCGGAGACGUCUAGCCUUACCGGGGAGAUAUCAUCGUCGAUGGCGUGCUCAUCGCACCAAGUCACGCAUCCAGCCAACGAACAAAUAAAUUGUACCAUAUUUUUCCUUGCCUCUAUGUCCUAGCUAGCAAAAUGAGUAGCCAAUCUGGUACACAUGUACCAGCCGUUUGUCCUCUGAUUUUUUACUUGUUUGUUCAUUGCAAAACCAGUGGUCAGUGUGCUAUAGCGUGUAAUUUCUGAACCUGAAAAGUUCAGUCCUGAGCUCCCAGACGAUGUUGCAUUAUGGACUCUACACACAAAUAUGCACUUCAAAGCUUUUUUAUCUGAUGUGCUUCGUACAUAACAUUAGGUACUGAAGUUAUAUAUGCAAGACAUGUGUUGUUAUGGCAAAUGUUGCUGGCCUUACUGCUUAACCUUUUCCCGCUCCCAUUAGGAGUUAAAAUUUGAGGUAGCUAUGUGCCUUGCAUUGAAUUAACAGAAUGUGAGGAGGACUCUGGCCAAAUUGCAUGAGCUACUGUGGCAUGUUAUUAGUAAUAAAGCUGGUUUGGAACCAAGCAUAUGACAGUUUCCUCAUUGUAGCAGAUUUGCUGUCUUGACUUCUUACAAAAUGCUGCCAGAUAUUCGGUGCCAUCGGUUAUAUAGUUUUUCUUUUGGAAAAUAAAUAGCUAUCUUUAAGGCUAUUUAAUAAAGGAAUAGCUAUGUCUGCAAAACGUUGAUACUUGAUAGCAUGCGUGCUUGGCUAGCUUUCACCCUUUUAGUUAUACUUCUCCCAUUUCCAACAUUUACGAUCUACGGUCGAACUUAGGUACCGUGUAUUCACAAAACUUUAUAAAAGAGAGUGCCGCCAUGGCAGUAAAAACUGAGGGAGAGCAGCUGGACCUGCACAGCCGGCGACAGGCACCAGUAGCACAAACCGAAUACAGCCUGAUGGCCGAUUUCACGGAUGUGGAGCCGUCACCGAACCAUAUGACCUGUGAAUAAGCAGAACAUGCAGCAGGAAAAAUCAAUUUAGAAGGAUAAUUGUGUCCAUGUGAACCUUCUUCUUUCCAGUACUCAAAACCUGAGUUCACCAAAAAAAAAGGAUCAGUUUAGGCGAAGCAUUGAAUUGGUCUAGCUGGAACUUGGUGGAUGGACCUAGAUGAGAGGAGGUAGAGGUUCCAUAGCAGGUUACCCAGGGUCCCGGUGGUCCGGUGAGAUGGACGCCGCGGACGAACUUGCCAAGCAUGUUGCAUUUCCGCUGGGCGAUGUGUGCAUGUCUCGCUUGUCCUCUCCAAGGGCUAGUUAGCAGUAGCAACAUCAGAAUCGGAGAGCAGGAGCGAGCCUUGGGGAGGGUACCUGGUAUUAUCACCCUGUCGCUCAUCCGGUGCCGCCGGAUCUCCCUCCAAUGGAAAAUCGACCUCGCCGAAGAAACGGCAAGCGACACUGGCUCGAUUCAACAGUGGUAUAUGAGAUAGGGAAUUGGGAUGAUCAGGAGCGGCAACGCCGCUCGGCCGGUGGGUUGGCCUCAUGGCCACCAGCCACCAACCACAUAGGAGCUCAGCCCUGGGCCACCCCAUGGCCACCCCAUAGCCACCAAGCACCGGCAAAGUAGGAGCUCAGCUUGGGUGGCGUGCCACCCUGAUGGACGCCUGAGCACACGCAGCAAUGGAGGGAGAGGAGAGAGCCGAUCGUUGGGGUGGAGGUGGGCGGCGGCCAUGGAAUUUUAUUUGACUGGGACGAUGGGAUUGGGGAGGAAAAUAGAGAUGGGGUUGAGGCCGCUGAGUCUAGAUUUUUCGAGGUGGGACCUAUGCACCGCUUUGACCAUAUAAGAAGAAGGAAACCGGAAAGGCAACCGGUAACCGAACACGCAGGAUUUGGAAAAAAAAAAAAGAGGAACCAAUUUGUUGGAUCUACAGUAACAGAAAGGGGUACGUGUCAUUGAAUGGAGGAGGUAACUGGCGUGAAAUUGGACGUGUACAGUACUCCAGAUUAAUCAAGAAGCGCUAAACUGUAUGUCUUUUAUAUAGGGUAUAAUUAAUCAACUCCCAAAUCUGAUUCACGUCU